UGGGGAAUAUUGCACAAUGGGGGAAACCCUGAUGCAGCAACGCCGCGUGAAGGAUGAAGGUUUUCGGAUCGUAAACUUCUUUGAUGAGGGACGAAAAAAAUGACGGUACCUCAAAAACAAGCCACGGCUAACUACGUGCCAGCAGCCGCGGUAAUACGUAGGUGGCGAGCGUUGUCCGGAAUUACUGGGUGUAAAGGGCGUGUAGGCGGGAAGAUAAGUCAGAUGUGAAAUUCCAUGGCUCAACUGUGGCACUGCAUCUGAAACUAUUUUUCUUGAGUGAUGGAGAGGAAAGCGGAAUUCCUAGUGUAGCGGUGAAAUGCGUAGAUAUUAGGAGGAACACCAGUGGCGAAGGCGGCUUUCUGGACAUUAACUGACGCUGAGGCGCGAAAGCGUGGGGAGCAAACAGG
rnacentral:rRNA from 1 species